rnacentral:rRNA from 1 species
AUCUUCGGCAAUGGACGAAAGUCUGACCGAGCAACGCCGCGUGGGUGAAGAAGGUUUUCGGAUCGUAAAACUCUGUUGUUAGAGAAGAACAAGUGGGAGAGUAACUGUUCCCACCUUGACGGUAUCUAACCAGAAAGCCACGGCUAACUACGUGCCAGCAGCCGCGGUAAUACGUAGGUGGCAAGCGUUGUCCGGAUUUAUUGGGCGUAAAGCGAGCGCAGGCGGUUUCUUAAGUCUGAUGUGAAAGCCCUCGGCUCAACCGAGGAAGGUCAUUGGAAACUGGGAAACUUGAAUGCAGAAGAGGAGAGUGGAAUUCCAUGUGUAGCGGUGAAAUGCGUAGAUAUAUGGAGGAACACCAGUGGCGAAGGCGACUCUCUGGUCUGUAAUUGACGCUGAGGCUCGAAAGCGUGGGGAGCAAACA